AACCCAUGUUGUGGACACUUCCUUAGCAGUCCUUUAAACCUCUCACAUGCUUCAUAAAGUGACUCAUUAUCCUUCUAAGUAAAGCAAGCUAUAACAAAUUUAAGCUU